CACUCGAAGAAAUAAUAAAAGAAACCCUAUUUUUAGUCGUGGAUACGCGAAGCGUUGAAACGACUAUUAGUAUGGCGCAAAAUAUGCAAUCCGCAAAUGUGUGACUCACUCAGAUGUAAACUUUCGGCCGAUAACAUGGAGAGCCUGGGUACAAGUUUCUCGAAGACCUUCAAAGUUGAGCGCGGCCAUUUUGAAUUUGGUUCUUGUGUUUCGCUUUUGUAAAUAUGUAGUAUUUUGCCUAGGGCUUUUGCUCACACGUAGAUGAAAGCUGAGAGAGGUAUUUAUGACUGUGAUCAUGUAUUGUUCACAACUGCGCGGCCGGCGAGGUCAAAGAAAUCGUGUUUACCAGACCUGGCUCAUAGCUUUUUUCUUGGCUAGAGGAUUUGUUGGUUUUCCUCUCGCUUUCUCUCCUUCUAGAGUCCAAGUUCGAUCAGAGUGAGCAUUUCUUCAUGAAUGGUAUACAAGUCAGUAUCGACGACUGAAUAAAUAUGCUCUAAAAUUUGAUUGAUGGAUAGACAAUUUAGCAUCCAAGAGACUAUGUAGAUCUACUUUCUGCGAGAGAGAUUAACUAUCAUGUCAAACACGAGCCAUGUCAAACAGGCAUAGUGGCUGGUGAUGUAUGUAUAAUCUUAAUUUUUUGUUCUAGAAACGAGAUACAGUCAAACCUGUAUAUAACGGUCCUGUAUAUAGCAGUCACCCUGUGUAUAACAGUCACUGAACAAUUUCCCAAAAAUUGUCCGUUAUAUUUACUGUUAAGUUGACCUGCAUAUAGCCGCCACCUUAUAUAAUGUACACGGUCACCCUUUAGACUUCCUGAAUCCACAAUUUCAUUAUCUUUUACUUGUAUAUAACAGUAACGGAAUUCAGUUACAAUUAACAAAUAACGACAAGCUUUAUUCAUCAGCUCAUUGAAUAGCAGCCACCAAGGCAGGGGUCUCACAAAAGUACAAAUAUUAGUACUAAACACAACUACUAAUACAGGUCAUCGCCUACAUCCGACACAUGCUUAAGGCAGGUCACAUUUAAGUGCCAUCGCUUUCAAACAAUAGUUAUUGUAACUGUAACAACACAACUGUACCACACUGACUUUGUCCUAAUUUCCUGAUUAUAACACUGUACUCUACUUAUCAAGUUAACAGCCGCGGUUUUACACUGUAUUAGGCUACUGUUUUAAAGACAAAGACAACGCUCGGCAUCAAAUUUCUCUUCUAUCAGCUUUUGAUGCAGCCACUCACAGGAGACUUAGAUCAAAGUAUACUGCACCUCCCUUAAAGUACACCACGGACAUUUUAUGGGCAUUUUUUUUUAUUGUGUUUAUUAUGUUGCUGUUAAUCGUUAUUGUCAAUAAAGCGUAAAUUGAGUGAUUA